rnacentral:rRNA from 1 species
GACGAACGCUGGCGGCGUGCCUAAUACAUGCAAGUCGAACGCAUUUUCUUUCACCGUAGCUUGCUACACCGAAAGAAAAUGAGUGGCGAACGGGUGAGUAACACGUGGGCAACCUGCCCAUCAGCGGGGGAUAACACUUGGAAACAGGUGCUAAUACCGCAUAAUUCCAUUUACCGCAUGGUAGAGGGAUGAAAGGCGCUUUUGCGUCACUGAUGGAUGGACCCGCGGUGCAUCAGCUAGUUGGUGGGGUAACGGCCUACCAAGGCUGCGAUGCAUAGCCGACCUGAGAGGGUGAUCGGCCACACUGGGACUGAGACACGGCCCAGACUCCUACGGGAGGCAGCAGUAGGGAAUCUUCGGCAAUGGACGCAAGUCUGACCGAGCAACGCCGCGUGAGUGAAGAAGGUUUUCGGAUCGUAAAACUCUGUUGUUAGAGAAGAACAAGGAUGAGAGUGGAAAGUUCAUCCCUUGACGGUAUCUAACCAGAAAGCCACGGCUAACUACGUG